CAUGCAGUGCCUGUAUGAGUGUUUAUACAACUGAAACUGCGAAUGGCUCGGUAAAUUAGCAAUAAUUUAUUCGGGGGUAACUGCUACUUGGAUAACCGUAGUAAAGCUAGAGCUAAUACAUGCUACAAAGGCGAGAUUUCUCCCUCGUGGUACUAAGUAUUAGGUACAAGCCAAUUUUUUUGGUGAUUCAUACUUAUUUUCUGAUCGCACUCUGUGCGACACCCCGAAUAAAUUUCUGACCUAUCAACUAUGAUGGUAAGGUAGUGUCUUACCAUGGUUGUGACGGGUAACGGACCGUGGGUGCGGGAUUCCGGAGAGGGAGCCUGAGAAACGGCUACCACAUCCAAGGAAGGCAGCAGGCGCGCAACUUACCCAAUCCGAACUUCGGGAGGUAGUGACAAAAAAUAUCAAUAGGGGGACCAAUGGUCUUCCUAAUUGGAAUGAAAACAA
rnacentral:rRNA from 1 species